GAUAUCUGCACUGAGACAAGACAAGGAAGAACAUGAUAAAGGCGUCACUGGGAGUGUGGACUGGUACAGUGACAGGGUAUACCUUACCUCUCCAUCUCCAGUUCAGUGUAAUGAAGUGAUUAGGAAUAUUAAUAAUAAUCAUAAGGAGAUUGGCCUCCAAUCCUCAUCUACUAAUAGUACAGUAUCUCUACUAUCAUCAGCUAAACUGCAUACACUAAACCUGAGGAGACUUGAGAUAUGGACCACUCCAUUAACUAAUGAUUGUAUCCAGUACUUGUGUAUACUACUAACUAA